AUGUCCGAUUCCAAGGUGAACGAUGCACAGGCAGGAUACGAGUCAGCCAUCACCACCUUGAUGGUUGCAUUGGCAGGAGGCAACUUUAUCCAUGACGCAG
rfam:Desulfobacterales bacterium S3730MH5 k99_4617124, whole genome shotgun sequence.